rnacentral:misc_RNA from 1 species
UUCCUCACCGACGUCGAUCGGCAUGAUGCAAUCCGUCAGGAAUCCACCACAACCGAUACGAACGUCGUUCGCACGUAGCGCCGAACGCGAGGGGCAAAUAGAGGCCGAGGCCUCGUGCCCACAACAUGUUCCGCAUCCGAGAUUUCGAGCAUUACGCCUUGGGUGGGCUACCCGAGCGCAUGCGCACACACCCACGAGUGCCAACCACGACGCAUGCCAUGAGUUCCAAUCCGCACCACGACACCAAAGGGCGACGCAGGGCAAAAUGAAAAUGGGACUAGUUUGUCAUCGUCAUGCCUUAACGAUGGGUAUCGAGCACAGGAGGCCGCAAUCGAACAGGGCUUGGGAGCCCUUGUGCCGAUGAUUGAAGAGGCGCGGU